rnacentral:rRNA from 1 species
AUUGAACGCUGGCGGCAUGCCUUACACAUGCAAGUCGAACGGUAGAGGGGGCAACCCUUGAGAGUGGCGAACGGGUGAGUAAUAUAUCGGAACGUGCCCAGUCGUGGGGGAUAACGUAGCGAAAGUUACGCUAAUACCGCAUACGAUCUAAGGAUGAAAGCGGGGGAUCGCAAGACCUCGCGCGAUUGGAGCGGCCGAUAUCAGAUUAGGUAGUUGGUGGGGUAAAGGCUCACCAAGCCAACGAUCUGUAGCUGGUCUGAGAGGACGACCAGCCACACUGGAACUGAGACACGGUCCAGACUCCUACGGGAGGCAGCAGUGGGGAAUUUUGGACAAUGGACGCAAGUCUGAUCCAGCCAUUCCGCGUGCAGGAUGAAGGCCCUCGGGUUGUAAACUGCUUUUGUACGGAACGAAAAGGUUUCUCUUAAUACGGGGAGCUCAUGACGGUACCGUAAGAAUAAGCACCGGCUAACUACGUG